GACGAACGCUGGCGGCGUGCUUAACACAUGCAAGUCGAGCGGUAAGGCCUUUCGGGGUACACGAGCGGCGAACGGGUGAGUAACACGUGGGUGAUCUGCCCUGCACUUCGGGAUAAGCCUGGGAAACUGGGUCUAAUACCGGAUAUGACCUCCUAUCGCAUGGUGGGUGGUGGAAAGAUUUAUCGGUGCAGGAUGGGCCCGCGGCCUAUCAGCUUGUUGGUGGGGUAAUGGCCUACCAAGGCGACGACGGGUAGCCGACCUGAGAGGGUGACCGGCCACACUGGGACUGAGGCACGGCCCAGACUCCUACGGGAGGCAGCAGUGGGGAAUAGUGCACAAUGGGCGAAAGCCUGAUGCAGCGACGCCGCGUGAGGGAUGACGGCCUUCGGGUUGUAAACCUCGUUCAGCAGGGACGAAGCGCAAGUGACGGUACCUGCAGAAGAAGCACCGGCUAACUACGUG
rnacentral:rRNA from 1 species